AGAAAUAGGUGCUAAGACCGCAUAAGCGCCCAGGGCCGCAUGGCCCAGGGUGAAAAACUCCGGUGGUAUAAGAUGGGCCCGCGUCUGAUUAGCCAGUUGGCAGGGUAACGGCCUACCAAAGCGACGAUCAGUAGCCGGCCUGAGAGGGUGGACGGCCACAUUGGGACUGAGACACGGCCCAAACUCCUACGGGAGGCAGCAGUGGGGGAUAUUGCACAAUGGGGGAAACCCUGAUGCAGCGACGCCGCGUGAGUGAAGAAGUAUUUCGGUAUGUAAAGCUCUAUCAGCAGGGAAGAAAGAAGACGGUACCUGAGUAAGAAGCCCCGGCUAACUACGUGCCAGCAGCCGCGGUAAUACGUAGGGGGCAAGCGUUAUCCGGAUUUACUGGGUGUAAAGGGAGCGUAGACGGUUACGCAAGUCUGGAGUGAAAGGCGGGGGCCCAACCCCCGGACUGCUUUGGAAACUGUAUAACUGGAGUGCAGGAGAGGUAAGUGGAAUUCCUAGUGUAGCGGUGAAAUGCGUAGAUAUUAGGAGGAACACCAGUGGCGAAGGCGGCUUACUGGACUGUAACUGACGUUGAGGCUCGAAAGCGUGGGGAGCAAACAGGAUUAGAUACCCUGGUAGUCCACGCCGUAAACGAUGAUCACUAGGUGU
rnacentral:rRNA from 1 species